AGAGUUUGAUUAUGGCUCAGGAUGAACGCUAGCGGGAGGCUUAACACAUGCAAGUCGAGCGGUAAGGCCCCUUCGGGGGUACACGAGCGGCGCACGGGUGCGUAACGCGUAUGCAACCUGCCUUAUACAGGGGGAUAGCCCAUGGAAACGUGGAUUAAUACCCCAUAAUAUCGUUGAACCGCAUGGUUUGAUGAUUAAAACUUCGGUGGUAUAAGAUGGGCAUGCGUCUGAUUAGCUUGUUGGUGAGGUAACGGCUCACCAAGGCGACGAUCAGUAGGGGUUCUGAGAGGAUUAUCCCCCACACUGGUACUGAGACACGGACCAGACUCCUACGGGAGGCAGCAGUGAGGAAUAUUGGUCAAUGGGCGCGAGCCUGAACCAGCCAUCCCGCGUGCAGGAUGACGGCCCUAUGGGUUGUAAACUGCUUUUCUACGCCAAGAAACGGCUCUACGUGUAGGGCACUGACGGUAGCGUAGGAAUAAGCAUCGGCUAACUCCGUGCCAGCAGCCGCGGUAAUACGGAGGAUGCAAGCGUUAUCCGGAUUCAUUGGGUUUAAAGGGUGCGCAGGCGGGGAAGUAAGUCAGUGGUGAAAAACUGCCGCUCAACGGUAGUCGUGCCAUUGAUACUGCUUUUCUUGAGUUUGGAUGAGGUAGGCGGAAUGUGCAGUGUAGCGGUGAAAUGCAUAGAUAUUGCACAGAACACCGAUUGCGGAGGCAGCUUACUAAUCCACGACUGACGCUGUGGCACGAAAGCGUGGGGAGCGAACAGGAUUAGAUACCCUGGUAGUC
rnacentral:rRNA from 1 species